rnacentral:rRNA from 1 species
AUGUGUGCUCGUGUCGAAGCUAAAGAUGUUGUAUCUGAAGAAGAUGAUAUUGAAGUUGAUUCAGAAGAUGAAUUUGCAGUGCCUGUUAGUGUUAUGAGUCCAGUCAAGUCGGUGGGAGGCAAUGCUGAAAAAGUUGCCUUGGAUGAAGGUGACCAACGGAAAUUGAACUUAACUGUGCGAUGUUCGUUGAGAGAGGUUGAAGCUUGUGCUAAAUUGCUCGAGAGUCGGGUGAAGUCUAACAUUUCCUGCCCUCUAAUGGGAGUUUUGUACCUGAGGACAGAUCUUGAUACAAUCACUCUUGACAUGGGUGAGGCUAAUAAGAAGCUUCGCAUCACUAGCGAUGGUCUACAACAAUUAUUUGGUUUCCCUCGUGGUGGUCAUUCUACGCCAAGGCCGUCAGAGGACGGAUAUGACAACGCUCUAAUGAAGUUAAGAACAGAGCUUGACAUUAGCAGGAACAAAGCAAUCAGUACAAAGGAUUUGAGGAAUAAGCUCAAGGUGCUCGUCAAGGAUCCUAGCAAAGAUGACCUUGCUCUGAAAGUGUUCUUCAUUAUUUUGUUUAUGAAGGUUGUGUUGCCUGGUUCUGCCCCGCGUGUUUCCAGAGAGGCAGCAAUGUUUGAGGGUCUCGUCUUUGAGGACAUGGCUAAAAUGGAUUAUUGCCAGCUGAUGGUUGAUGAGCUUAGAAGGGCUUUUGCCAAGUACCAAGAUGGUGAUACCAUGGGGAAGGAAAUCACAGGCUGUGCCAUAGGGCCUGUACUAAUGUACCUUGACUACCUUAUCUGUGGCAAGACUGCAGAGCCUGACAUGCGAGUCCCCCGCAUAUGUUUCAUGGAUCCUGCCAAGCUUUUUGAUCUGGUUGACGCAGAUUUGAUAAAAAAAGGCAAUGCAGAUCGAAAGACUUGGAUGUUUGGGAAGCUUCCGUAA